UACGGAGGGUGCAGGCGUUGUCCGGAUUUAUUGGGUUUAAAGGGUGCGUAGGCGGCUUUUUAAGUCAGUGGUGAAAUCCUUCAGCUUAACUGGAGAAUUGCCAUUGAUACUGGAAAGCUUGAGUACAGACGAGGUAGGCGGAAUUUAUGGUGUAGCGGUGAAAUGCUUAGAUACCAUAAAGAACACCGAUUGCGAAGGCAGCUUACUAGGCUGUAACUGACGCUGAGGCACGAAAGUGUGGGGAUCAAACAGG
rnacentral:rRNA from 1 species